GAGCACAGAAUGUCAGACCUAG
rnacentral:miRNA from 1 species